GAGAGCCGCUGUGCCGUGAAAGACGGCAUGCACGGUUCCGAGAGAGGGCCGGGGAGACGGCUCCGCUGAAAGGUGGAGCACCGCGCCCCGGCCCUACUCUAC
rnacentral:ncRNA from 1 species